AUGACCAAAACUCAAGCGCAGAGGCAACGACUUACCUUGAACAGGGAGCAGUUCAUGAUGGUUGUUCCUCGUUGGUGCUAUGGAAGGCAUGACGGAUGGGCGAGUUUGGUGGAUAGGUGGCUUGGCGCCGAUGCAGAGUUUGCUGCCAAGAGCAUCAAGGCCCGAGCUAACCGUGGAGCCGACGGGACACACGGCCAAGGAAACAGGAACCACUGGGGCUUCAAGGCCAUGAAGGAGGACAAGUUGAAGAGGCCGCUCUCAGACAUGGAGUCGUGGAAGCUGGCCCGCGAGCGGAGUCAUCGCAAGGAGGGCGAGAGCCAGUACUACGGCAAGACCGAGGAGCACCUGGGGUCUUACAUUCAUCACUAUCAGGAGUUGCAUUCGGAUGUUCCUGUUGCUGAGGUCACCCAGUCUCAGAUCGACGACACGACAGUGGUGGCCAUCCAGGGGAAGAAGAAUGGCCGGUAUCCGUGUUUCGACGGCUUGAUCACUCCUUCGAUCUCGUACACACAACUUCGGGCUACCAACCUGAGCCAGUUAGAGAGUACGUGGCGUUCACAGACUCCCUUAGCCCGCCAGCAUGCUGCAUAUAAGGAGUUUGCCGAGUAUAGGAAUCUCGAGGUGCGGGAGUACUUGAAACGAGUGGAGGCAAACGAUGAUUACAACCGUCAGAUGAUGACGGCUAUGUUGGCGUCUUGGAGUAACCGCACGAAUCCACCGCAAAUGGGACCCCCACAACCACCUACGGGAGAACCCCCACACGUGCCCAUGUUUGAUGAAUGGGUGGCACUAGACAGUGAUGGUCCGGGGACCGGUGGCUCGACUCCUGCUCCGUCGGCCCCAGUCACUCCGAUCUGGCAGAGUGAUGGUGGUCGCGAUGGCGGUUUUGGCGGAGGUGGUGGUUUUCGCGGAGGUGGUCUUGCUUGA
rnacentral:rRNA from 1 species